rnacentral:lncRNA from 1 species
UUUUUUUUCUUUUCUUUUUCUUUUUAUUGUAGAUAGUUAAGUUAAGAGUGGUGGUGGGUGGUGAGAGUUUUGAAUUUAUUAAAAGUAGGAAUUUAUUGAAUAUAUUUCAAUUAUUAUUUAUUUUGAUCUGAUUAUCUAAUUUUUAAAAAUUUUAGUUUUGAUAUAUAAUUUUUUAGAUAGUUAAGAGUUGGUGGUGUUGGCUUAAAGAGGUCAGUAUUCUAUCCUGCGGCAAAAGAUCAGGUUGAGUCGAGUCACGUUCGAAAUAAAGGGAGGUCAGGUUGGGCCCAGUCCUGUUCGAAGUGGGCGUGAGACUAGUUGGGUCGAGUAACAAUCGAAGCUCGUAAACGUUGUAUCUAUACACUUUAAAUGAAUUUGUUGUAUUUUUAUAACAGUUCGAACUUAUGGAAUUAACGACCAGCACUAAUGAUCCGACAGGUAGGUGGUGAGAGUUUUAAAUUUAUAGAUGAUAAAAAGUUAUCGAAUUUGCUUCAAUUAUCAUCCAUUUUGAUCUGAUUAUCUAAUAUUUAAAAAUUUUAGUUUUAAUGUUGAAUCUUUUUAGAUAGUUGAGAGAGGGUGGGUGGUGAGAGUUUUGAAUUUAUAAAAGCUAAAACUUU